AUUGAACGCUGGCGGCAUGCCUUACACAUGCAAGUCGAACGGCGGCACGGGUGCUUGCACCUGGUGGCGAGUGGCGAACGGGUGAGUAAUAUAUCGGAACGUACCUUAUUGUGGGGGAUAACGCAGCGAAAGCUGUGCUAAUACCGCAUAAUCCCUAAGGGGGAAAGCGGGGUACCGUAAGGCCUCGCGCAAUUAGAGCGGCCGAUACCUGAUUAGCUAGUUGGUGAGGUAAAGGCGCACCAAGGCAACGAUCAGUAGCUGGCCUGAGAGGACGAUCAGCCACACUGGGACUGAGACACGGCCCAGACUCCUACGGGAGGCAGCAGUGGGGAAUUUUGGACAAUGGGGGCAACCCUGAUCCAGCAAUGCCGCGUGAGUGAAGAAGGCCUUCGGGUUGUAAAGCUCUUUUGUCAGGGAAGAAACAGCAGCUCUACACAGUUUGCGAAUGACGGUACCUGAAGAAUAAGCACCGGCUAACUACGUGCCAGCCGCCGCCGUAA
rnacentral:rRNA from 1 species